UCCUGGGAUAGUCCUAAGGUGCCUCUUGAAUCUCCUGUUCUGUCAACUGAAGGCUUUCCUUUCAGGGGCCCCACAGCAGGAAGGGACCACUGUCCCACUUUACUGCUUUGAAGGUUACCUUGUCCUUCCAUCCAUACAUCCCCCUUGAGCGCCCAGAUUCCUUUUACACCUUUGCUGUGAUUGGGCCCUUUCCUGCCCCCGCUCUCACCCUAUGUCAAGCUACUGAGGUUCUUGUAUCCCCUCUGUUACAUCACUGUUCACUGUGGCCACGAAUCAGCUGGUUUUGGCAGAUGUUUACCUGUUUAUGUAUAUACUCCUUUUUAAAAACUUGUUUUGUUUUUCUUCAUUGAGUUACAAGUCCUGUUAUAUGCAGCUGUAUGACUCUAGGGACACUGGGAGGAUCAGCAGAGUGGGUACUUCCUUGAAGUCCCUCCUCUACAACCUCAGACUAAUGUCACAAAUAAAACCUUCCUGCCCUAGGAACCAAGAGCCUUUCCUUGGCACAAGCCCCAGAUGUCAUUUGCUUUUGAGGAUGUGGGCCAGUUUCCUUUCUUCAAAAGAGCAAGGUUGAAAUAUUUUUGGCCCUUGCCCCUUUGAGCAUUAGAGAUACUGGAAGGUGAAGUUUAUUUCAGAGCCGUACAAAAAUAAUUCUCAAAUCAGCUUCAGAAUUAGUUCUUAUCACUCCUUCCUAGUAUCCUCAGAGGUUGUCUACAGUUUAACUUGUAGAACCAUGACCCUUGUGACAGUGCUGGCGUUGUUUCAGGUCCUCCAAGGCCGUUUCUAGCAGGUCAGCGAAGGCCCAAUAGUCCCAUCUGCAUGGAACCCUCAAUUCUGGGAGAGGAAGUGUGAUCACUGCCCUACCACAUGUUUAUACCUGCCUCUCUGGUUCCUCCUGACUCCUAUUGCUUCCCUGCUUGUUGGGCCAUUCAGAACCCAGAAAGGAAGGUCUUCCCCCUCCACAUGCAAACACGGGUGCUUGUGGCUGCUUUCAGUUUGGUUUUCUGAGAAAAUAGGACAGGAUUUGGUUUUGCAGAGGGUGCAAGCUCCUUUCCAUGCCUGCCCAGGAGGCACGCAAAAGGGCAAGUUUGAGUUCUUUGAGUUCUACUUUGUAUGUUGUUUAGCAAGUAUCUGCUUGGUACUUUGAUUUAAAAUAAAAACACUUUUAUAAUUUG
rnacentral:lncRNA from 1 species